rnacentral:rRNA from 1 species
UACGUAGGGUGCAAGCGUUGUCCGGAAUUACUGGGCGUAAAGCGUGCGUAGGCGGUCCGCGAAGUCUGAUGUGAAAGCCCCGGGCUCAACCUGGGAACUGCAUUGGAAACUAACGGGCUCGAGUGUGGCAGAGGGGGGUGGAAUUCCACGUGUAGCAGUGAAAUGCGUAGAGAUGUGGAGGAACACCGAUGGCGAAGGCAGCCCCCUGGGCUAACACUGACGCUCAGGCACGAAAGCGUGGGGAGCAAACAGG